ensembl:snRNA U6 U6 spliceosomal RNA
GCGCUUGUUUAGGCAGCACAUGUACUAAAAUUGGAACGAUACAGAGAAGAUUAGCAUGGCUCCUAUGCAAGGAUGACACACAAAUUCAUGAAGCAGUCCAUAUUUUU